AGAGUUUGAUCAUGGCUCAGGACGAACGCUGGCGGCGUGCUUAACACAUGCAAGUCGAGCGGAAAGGCCCUUCGGGGUACUCGAGCGGCGAACGGGUGAGUAACACGUGAGUAACCUGCCUCUGGCUCUGGGAUAAGCCUGGGAAACCGGGUCUAAUACCGGAUAUGACUCUUGCCUGCAUGGGUGGGGGUGGAAAGUUU
rnacentral:rRNA from 1 species